AGCAGCAACAGCCGCCGUGUUCAUUUCAGCCACUGAUUAAACGGGCGUUUGAAGUUCAUUUUCCGUUGACGUAGGACAGCAGAGAGUUCCGGAGGUCGAAAAAUUAAGGACAUCAUGCUCUCAUAUGCGCUGGCUGUUGCUGCUGUAGUAAUUAUGGCAACCGUCAUGGGUGCUGUGGAUGCCAAUGUCGACGUUCAAAAUAGUGUGGAGGUAAAAAACGGUAAGUGCUUGCACAAGGGUAAGUUCUUUGAACCUGGAACUCCCACGCACCUGGACCCCAAGAAAUGCGAGGCUGUUAUGUGCGACCCAACGCUGGGUAUUUUACACGUUGCUGGUUGUUACCUGAAAGAUGUUCCCGAGGGAUGCACCAGGGAGUCCGGAGGUGGUUCCUAUCCUUACUGCUGUGGCACCUUGGUCAGUUGUCCUGCAAAGUAUAAGCUCUUAUAAGCAGGACCACAUUCUUGAGGUGCCCCAAGGCUAUUAAUAAAGAAGCACACAUA